GCCGGGCUGGCGGAACUGGCAUUCGCGGCAGACUCAAAAUCUGCUGGGGCUGACGCCCCGUGAGGGUUCGACUCCCUCGCCCGGCACCA
rnacentral:tRNA from 2 species